UUAGUAUACUCAGUUGAUGAUUACUGCAGCGGUUUUACGUAACAAUGUAUAGACAGUAGAUUCGUACGCUAAAAAUUGUUUCACUAAUCACAAUAAGGUUCUUUGAAGUAUUCAUCCCCUGCAGAAGAUUAUUUUGCCUCGGAAUAUUCGCUUCGUUCCAGAACAGAAGACCCUCCGAUGGCAGAUCAUACAAAAAUUUCGAAAUAAACCUUCGGAUGUAUAUUUUGAAAAAAACUCACAGGAAUUUAAUCUCUAAGUGAACAAAUUUUUGCGGAAGUCAAAAACAUGUAAUAACCCAAGUCCAGCCGAGGAACGACUACGCAACUCAAAACCAAAAAUCAAAACUUCCGUAAAAACUCAAGGCACGCGAUCAGUAACAAACCUGUCUAAUGGUAGGAUCCACGUUGCAGGGAUCGGCCAACAUAAAUAAAACGCAAGAAAUGGCGGUUUGAAAUUUAAUUAAAUACAUUAAAACAAAAAAAUCAGG